rnacentral:rRNA from 1 species
CCUACGGGAGACAGCAGUGGGGAAUAUUGCACACUGGGGGAAACCCUGAUGCAGCGACGCCGCGUGAGUGAAGCAGUAUUUCGGUAUGUAAAGCUCUAUCAGCCGGGAAGAAGAAAGACGGUACCUGACUAAGAAGCCCCGGCUAACUACGUGCCAGCAGCCGCGGUAAUACGUAGGGGGCAAGCGUUAUCCGGAUUUACUGGGUGUAAGGGGAGCGUAGACGGUGGUGCAAGUCUGAAGUGAAAGCCCAGGGCUCAACCCUGGGACUGCUUGGGAAACUGUGGAGAGAGAGUGCUGGAGAGGUAAGUGGAAUUCCUAGUGUAGCGGUGAAAUGCGUAGAUAGUAGGAGGAACACCAGUGGCGAAGGCGGCUUACUGGACAGUAACUGACGUUGAGGCUCGAAAGCGUGGGGAGCAAACAGGAUUAGAUACCCUUGUAGUC